UUGAACUCGGUUGCAAGGCCUGGGGAAGCUACAGUCGACUCGGCCACUAAGAGUUAAGUGUGGAAGGCAGAAGGAGAAAGCUUUCGCACCAUCCUCGACCUAACCCCUGUCACUAGUGUUUCUCCCAUUCCUAUGUGACACGUGGCUCCUUAGCACUGCCACAGUGGCUGAGACUGGGCUGCAAGCAAAAGGCAGUGAGGGCAGAUAUCCCCUGCGUCGCCCACCUGAGUUCGAACACAGAUGCUCACGGAAUCCACACUGCCAGUUUAAAAAGCCAGGGAGGCCUGUUGCACAGAUCAGAGGACAGGUCUCUCAGAUGUCCCACCAGCCAUCAGCUGGAGCCCCGGAAGUCCAGUGCUGGAGCGCGGGAUUUGAAUUUGUUUCCUGGCACGCCCGAUUAUCUCAGCAGAGAAACAGGCCUUCGCGUGAACAGAAGCCGAGCAGCGAAAUCCACUAGGAUCGCUGUAACGAGUUUGGCGUUUGUUGGGAAACUGCUCCAACUUCAGCCUCUCCCUGUACAGCAGUGUUGUGAAACAGCUGGCAGUGAAGAAUGACGGUUUCACCUCCCUACACCUCAAGAAAUUAUCUCUCUGAACCAAAAUACUGGACACCCAAUAAAUAUGCAUAGAAAUGA